UGCGCCGAAAAUGUACCGGGGCUAAAUACACCACCGAAGCUGCGGAUUGAUACCGAAUGGUAUCAGUGGUAGGGGAGCGUUCUAAGGACAGUGAAGUCAGACCGGAAGGACUGGUGGAGUGCUUAGAAGUGAGAAUGCCGGUAUGAGUAGCGAAAGACGGGUGAGAAUCCCGUCCACCGAAUGCCUAAGGUUUCCUGAGGAAGGCUCGUCCGCUCAGGGUUAGUCAGGACCUAAGCCGAGGCCGACAGGCGUAGGCGAUGGACAACAGGUUGAUAUUCCUGUACCACCUCUUUAUCGUUUGAGCAAUGGAGGGACGCAGAAGGAUAGAAGAAGCGUGCGAUUGGUUGUGCACGUCCAAGCAGUUAGGCUGAUAAGUAGGCAAAUCCGCUUAUCGUGAAGGCUGAGCUGUGAUGGGGAAGCUCCUUAUGGAGCGAAGUCUUUGAUUCCCCGCUGCCAAGAAAAGCUUCUAGCGAGAUAAAAGGUGCCUGUACCGCAAACCGACACAGGUAGGCGAGGAGAGAAUCCUAAGGUGUGCGAGAGAACUCUGGUUAAGGAACUCGGCAAAAUGACCCCGUAACUUCGGGAGAAGGGGUGCUUUCUUAACGGAAAGCCGCAGUGAAUAGGCCCAAGCGACUGUUUAGCAAAAACACAGCUCUCUGCGAAGCCGUAAGGCGAAGUAUAGGGGGUGACACCUGCCCGGUGCUGGAAGGUUAAGGAGAGGGGUUAGCGUAAGCGAAGCUCUGAACUGAAGCCCCAGUAAACGGCGGCCGUAACUAUAACGGUCCUAAGGUAGCGAAAUUCCUUGUCGGGUAAGUUCCGACCCGCACGAAAGGUGUAACGAUUUGGGCACUGUCUCAACCAGAGACUCGGUGAAAUUAUAGUACCUGUGAAGAUGCAGGUUACCCGCGACAGGACGGAAAGACCCCGUGGAGCUUUACUGUAGCCUGAUAUUGAAUUUUGGUACAGUUUGUACAGGAUAGGCGGGAGCCAUUGAAACCGGAGCGCUAGCUUCGGUGGAGGCGCUGGUGGGAUACCGCCCUGACUGUAUUGAAAUUCUAACCUACGGGUCUUAUCGACCCGGGAGACAGUGUCAGGUGGGCAGUUUGACUGGGGCGGUCGCCUCCUAAAGUGUAACGGAGGCGCCCAAAGGUUCCCUCAGAAUGGUUGGAAAUCAUUCGUAGAGUGCAAAGGCAUAAGGGAGCUUGACUGCGAGACCUACAAGUCGAGCAGGGACGAAAGUCGGGCUUAGUGAUCCGGUGGUUCCGCAUGGAAGGGCCAUCGCUCAACGGAUAAAAGCUACCCCGGGGAUAACAGGCUUAUCUCCCCCAAGAGUCCACAUCGACGGGGAGGUUUGGCACCUCGAUGUCGGCUCAUCGCAUCCUGGGGCUGUAGUCGGUCCCAAGGGUUGGGCUGUUCGCCCAUUAAAGCGGUACGCGAGCUGGGUUCAGAACGUCGUGAGACAGUUCGGUCCCUAUCCGUCGUGGGCGUAGGAAAUUUGAGAGGAGCUGUCCUUAGUACGAGAGGACCGGGAUGGACGCACCGCUGGUGUACCAGUUGUUCUGCCAAGGGCAUAGCUGGGUAGCUAUGUGCGGAAGGGAUAAGUGCUGAAAGCAUCUAAGCAUGAAGCCCCCCUCAAGAUGAGAUUUCCCAUAGCGUAAGCUAGU
rnacentral:rRNA from 1 species